ACGGGAGGCAGCAGUGAGGAAUAUUGGUCAAUGGGCGGAAGCCUGAACCAGCCAAGUCGCGUGAAGGAUGAAGGUAUUAUGUAUUGUAAACUUCUUUAGCUGUGGAGCAAUAAUCGCCAUGCAUGGCGAGAUGAGAGUACACAGAGAAUAAGGAUCGGCUAACUCCGUGCCAGCAGCCGCGGUAAUACGGAGGAUCCGAGCGUUAUCCGGAUUUAUUGGGUUUAAAGGGAGCGCAGGCGGAGAUGUAAGCCAGCCGUCAAAUCGUGGUGCUCAACGCCAUCCAGCGGUUGGAACUGCAUCCCUUGAGUGCACUAGAGGAAGGUGGAAUUCGUGGUGUAGCGGUGAAAUGCAUAGAUAUCACGAAGAACUCCGAUUGCGAAGGCAGCCUUCUGGGGUGUUACUGACGCUCAUGCUCGAAGGUGCGGGUAUCAAACAGGAUUAGAUACCCUGGUA
rnacentral:rRNA from 1 species